AGAGUUUGAUCCUGGCUCAGGAUGAACUCUAGCUACAGGCUUAACACAUGCAAGUCGAGGGGCAUCAUGGAGUUUGCUUGCAAACUCUGAUGGCGACCGGCGCACGGGUGAGUAACGCGUAUCCAACCUUCCCUAUAGUAGAGGAUAGCCCGGCGAAAGUCGGAUUAAUACUCUAUGUUUUCCGUUGCAGACAUCUAAGAUGGAACAAAGGCUUGCCGCUAUAGGAUGGGGAUGCGUCUGAUUAGGUAGUCGGCGGGGUAACGGCCCACCGAGCCAUCGAUCAGUAGGGGUUCUGAGAGGAAGGUCCCCCACAUUGGAACUGAGACACGGUCCAAACUCCUACGGGAGGCAGCAGUGAGGAAUAUUGGUCAAUGGGCGAGAGCCUGAACCAGCCAAGUAGCGUGCAGGACGACGGCCCUAUGGGUUGUAAACUGCUUUUAUGCGGGGAUAAAGUUCACUACGUGUAGUGUUUUGUAGGUACCGCAUGAAUAAGGACCGGCUAAUUCCGUGCCAGCAGCCGCGGUAAUACGGAAGGUCCGGGCGUUAUCCGGAUUUAUUGGGUUUAAAGGGAGCGCAGGCCGGAGGUCAAGCGUGACGUGAAAUGUAGCCGCUCAACGGCUGAACUGCGUCGCGAACUGGCUUUCUUGAGUGAGUUCGAUGUGGGCGGAAUUCGUGGUGUAGCGGUGAAAUGCUUAGAUAUCACGAAGAACUCCGAUUGCGAAGGCAGCCCACAAGGCCUGUACUGACGCUAAAGCUCGAAGGUGCGGGUAUCGAACAGGAUUAGAUACCCUGGUAGUCCGCACGGUAAACGAUGAAUGCCCCCUGUUUGCGAUAUACUGUGAGC
rnacentral:rRNA from 1 species